AUAUUAUUAUUAAAACCCUUUAAAUUUGUGAUAUUUUAUUAUUUUCUUGGUAGUGAUGAUUAUGGAAGCUUGGGUCCUUGAACGCCUGGCAUUGAAGUCAGAACAUACAGUACUUUCGUUUCUGGGAACAUCAACUUUAACGGAUCAAAUUGGAAAGCAAAAUCCUGGCGGGUUCAAGCUCUACUUAUUUUGUAGGCCAAAAAACAAAAGCUGCGUGUCUCUGCAACACUCUUUGUUUCUAAUUACUUGUUGGUGGACAAAUGGCCAUGGAGUUUCCUUUCUUUAACGCCGAACCAUUUUAGUAGAGAGAAUCGUGAUUAACUCCUCGCCAUUGCAACUAACAAUAACAACCCUAUGUUGAGCUUGGCAAUUCAAUUAAGUGAUAAAAACUCUCAAAUCUCUUCUUGGUUCAAUAAACUUAAUUGGGGCUCUUCUUGAUU